rnacentral:rRNA from 1 species
GAUGAACGCUGGCGGCGUGCCUAAUACAUGCAAGUCGAGCGAACGGACGAGAAGCUUGCUUCUCUGAUGUUAGCGGCGGACGGGUGAGUAACACGUGGAUAACCUACCUAUAAGACUGGGAUAACUUCGGGAAACCGGAGCUAAUACCGGAUAAUAUUUUGAACCGCAUGGUUCAAAAGUGAAAGACGGUCUUGCUGUCACUUAUAGAUGGAUCCGCGCUGCAUUGGCUAGUUGGUAAGGUAACGGCUUACCAAGGCAACGAUGCAUAGCCGACCUGAGAGGGUGGUCGGCCACACUGGAACUGAGACACGGUCCAGACUCCUACGGGAGGCAGCAGUAGGGAAUCGUCCGCAAUGGGCGGAAGCCUGACGGAGCAACGCCGCGUGAGUGAUGAAGGUCUUCGGAUCGUAAAACUCUGUUAUUAGGGAAGAACAUAUGUGUAAGUAACUGUGCACAGCUUGACGGUACCUAAUCAGAAAGCCACGGCUAACUACGUG